rnacentral:rRNA from 1 species
UACGGAGGAUGCAAGCGUUAUCCGGAAUGAUUGGGCGUAAAGCGUCCGCAGGUGGCUAUGUAAGUCUGCUGUUAAAGAGUGAGGCUCAACCUCAUAAGAGCAGUGGAAACUACAUGGCUAGAGUGCGUUCGGGGCUGAGGGAAUUCCUGGUGUAGCGGUGAAAUGCGUAGAUAUCGAGAGGAACACCUGCGGCGAAGGCGGGUUGCUGGGCUGAUACUGACGCUGAGGCGCGAAAGCCAGGGGAGCGAACGGG